rnacentral:rRNA from 1 species
UACCUGCAGCUCGAGUGGUAACCGCUAUUAUUGGGCCUAAAGCGUCCGUAGCCGGUUUGGUAAAUAUCUGGGUAAAUCGUGAGGCUUAACUUCACGAAUUUCGGAUAGACUGCCAGACUUGGGAUCGGGGGAGGUCAGAGGUACUCCAGGGGUAGCGGUGAAAUGUUGUAAUCCUUGGAGGACCACCGGUAGCGAAGGCGUCUGACUAGAACGAGUCCGACGGUGAGGGACGAAGCCCUGGGGCGCAAACCGGAUUAGAUACCCGGGUAGUCCAGGGUGUAAACGAUGUGGGCUUUGUAUUGGAGGUCCCACGUGGGCGUCCAGUGCAGAAGAGAAGUUGUUAAGCCCACCGCCUGGGAAGUACGGUCGCAAGGCUGAAACUUAAAGGAAUUGGCGGGAGAGCACAGCAACGGGAGGAGCGUGCGGUUU